AAAUUGAAGAGUUUGAUCAUGGCUCAGAUUGAACGCUGGCGGCAGGCCUAACACAUGCAAGUCGAACGGUAACAGGAAGCAGCUUGCUGCUUUGCUGACGAGUGGCGGACGGGUGAGUAAUGUCUGGGAAACUGCCCGAUGGAGGGGGAUAACUACUGGAAACGGUAGCUAAUACCGCAUAACGUCGCAAGACCAAAGAGGGGGACCUUAGGGCCUCUUGCCAUCGGAUGUGCCCAGAUGGGAUUAGCUAGUAGGUGGGGUAAUGGCUCACCUAGGCGACGAUCCCUAGCUGGUCUGAGAGGAUGACCAGCCACACUGGAACUGAGACACGGUCCAG
rnacentral:rRNA from 1 species